UCCCUGGAAGACCCACAAAGCCCCCCGAGCGUUACUCUAAAACCGUUCCUCCUGCGCCUCCCGUCACAUUUCAGCAGGAUUGUUCUCUUUUAGCUCCUCGCCUGGAUUCAAACCUCCGGAGAGAGGCAGCCAGAGGAUGCUCAGUGUGGCUGCACGCAGCAGAGAAAACACCAUGGGAGCAGAAGGCCUCUUCUCUCCCCACCUUCGCCAUUUUCCCAGCGGUGACAGAGACGGAG